ACACGACUACAUUAGAUACCCGCGUAGUCCUAGCCGUAAACGAUACUCGCUAGGUGUCGGCCACGGUGCGACCGUUGUCGGUGCCGUAGGGAAGCCGUGAAGCGAGCCACCUGGGAAGUACGGCCGCAAGGCUGAAACUUAAAGGAAUUGGCGGGGGAGCACAACAACGGGUGGAGCUUGCGGUUUAAUUGGAUUCAACGCCGGACAUCUCACCGGAUAAGACAGCUGAAUGAUUGUCAAUCUGAAGGUUUUACAUGACUAGCUG
rnacentral:rRNA from 1 species